rnacentral:rRNA from 1 species
GAUGAACGCUGGCGGCGUGCUUAACACAUGCAAGUCGAACGAAGCAUUUAAAAUGAAGUUUUCGGAUGGAGUUUUGAAUGACUUAGUGGCGGACGGGUGAGUAACGCGUGGGUAACCUGCCUCAUACAGGGGGAUAACAGUUGGAAACGACUGCUAAGACCGCAUAAGCCUACAGUGCCGCAUGGCACAGAAGGAAAAAAUUUAUUGGUAUGAGAUGGACCCG